CAGCCGCCGCGGGAAUACGAAGGGGGCUAGCGUUGUUCGGAUUUACUGGGCGUAAAGCGCUCGUAGGCGGAUCGAUCAGUCAGGGGUGAAAUCCCAGAGCUCAACUCUGGAACUGCCUUUGAUACUGUCGAUCUGGAGUAUGGAAGAGGUGAGUGGAAUUCCGAGUGUAGAGGUGAAAUUCGUAGAUAUUCGGAGGAACACCAGUGGCGAAGGCGGCUCACUGGUCCAUUACUGACGCUGAGGUGCGAAAGCGUGGGGAGCAAACAGGAUUAGAUACCCCUGUAGUCCCUGUCUCUUAUAC
rnacentral:rRNA from 1 species